GAUGAACGCUGGCGGCGUGCCUAAUACAUGCAAGUCGAACGGAAGGACGAGAAGCUUGUGUCUUUGAUGUUAGCGGCGGGCGGGUGAGUAACGAGUGGAUCCCCUACCUCUAUUACGGGGAUGACUUCGGAACACCGGCGAUAAUACCAGAUAAUAUUUUCAACCGGAGGGUUCAGAAGUUAAUGAGGGUUUUGCUGUCACUUCUAGCUGAUUCCGCGUUGGAUUAGUUAGUUGGUAGGGUAACGGCCUACCGAGGCGACGAUGCGUAGCCGACCUGAGAGGGUGAUCGGCCACACUGGAACUGAGACACGGUCCAGACUACUACGGGAGGCAGCAGUAGGGAAUGUUGGGCAAUGGGCGAAAGCCUGACGCAGCAACACCGCGUGAGUGAUGAAGGCCUUCGGAUUGUAAAGCCCUGUUAUUGGGGAAGAACAGCUGUGGAAUUAAACGAGGAUAUUCUGACGGUACCUAAAGAAGAAGCACCGGCUAACUACGUG
rnacentral:rRNA from 1 species